AUUGAACGCUGGCGGAAUGCUUUACACAUGUAAGUCGAACGGCAGCACGGGGGCAACCCUGGUGGCGAGUGGCGAACGGGUGAGUAAUACAUCGGAACGUGCCCAGUCGUGGGGGAUAACGUAGCGAAAGUUACGCUAAUACCGCAUACGAUCUACGGAUGAAAGCGGGGGGCCGUAAGGCCUCGCGCGAUUGGAGCGGCCGAUGUCAGAUUAGGUAGUUGGUGAGGUAAAGGCUCACCAAGCCGACGAUCUGUAGCUGGUCUGAGAGGACGACCAGCCACACUGGGACUGAGACACGGCCCAGACUCCUACGGGAGGCAGCAGUGGGGAAUUUUGGACAAUGGGCGCAAGCCUGAUCCAGCCAUUCCGCGUGCAGGACGAAGGCCUUCGGGUUGUAAACUGCUUUUGUACGGAACGAAAAGGCUCUGGUUAAUACCUGGGGCUCAUGACGGUACCGUAAGAAUAAGCACCGGCUAACUACGUGCCAGCAGCCGCAGUAA
rnacentral:rRNA from 1 species